UACGUAGGGUGCAAGCGUUGUCCGGAAUUAUUGGGCGUAAAGAGCUCGUAGGCGGUUUGUUGCGUCGGUUGUGAAAUCCCGAGGCUCAACCUCGGGUCUGCAGUCGAUACGAGCAAACUAGAGUGUUGCAGGGGAGACUGGAAUUCCUGGUGUAGCGGUGAAAUGCGCAGAUAUCAGGAGGAACACCGGUGGGCGAAGGCGGGUCUCUGGGCAACAACUGACGCUGGAGGAGCGAAAGCGUGGGGAGCGAACAGG
rnacentral:rRNA from 1 species